rnacentral:lncRNA from 1 species
UGUGUUGCAGUCGGUGGGGAAGGGGUCUUUCUGGUGUGUAUGUCCUGAAUAUCGUCCUGCACUCCUGAAGGUGUUAAGGAAGACCCACAGCUUCCACAGUACCAGCAACAAUCUGAUAAAUAAGCCAGCACUGUUGGAAGGAGCUGACUAUGAAGUGCCUGCAGUGUGUGACAUGGUGGAAAUCUCAGAUUCUCUUUCUCAGACUCUGCUCCUUUCCUCUUCCUCAUCCCAAAUCCUCACCACUGAUAACCCAGAUUUUGCUGAGAACCAGCCAGAUCAUGAGGAACUUGUCCCAAUGGAGUCAGAUGAAUACCAGCAAGAGGAGGUCAGCAGAGAAAUGGAGAAAGACCCACUGUCUGACAGCGGAUACAUUGAGCUGCAUUAUUACCAGUCUAAUGAGUUCCAGUACUUUGUGCUGCCAGGCGACUCUGAGCUGGAUCUGGAAACUGUGGAGAUCCUUCAGCUUGAUGCUGAAGCUCAGGAGGCUGCUGGAUCCCUGCUGGACCUGGCAGGUGGUGGAUAUUAGCUCACAGCUCCCCUUUGCUGUACCCUAAAACAUUGUUCACAGAAAUAUUUACCUUGGCCCAUGAAUUGUGUAUUCUUAUGUGAAACUUUUUCACAAUAUUGGUCCGUAGAAGGACUAAGAUGGAGGCAACAGCGAUUCUCUAGUAUUCUGCCACUUUCAGUGCACAAGCUCAGCAUAUCAUGUGUUUCCUGAUCCAUAAAAAGUGCAUUUGUUGGAUCAGGAUGUGGUUAAUGUGAUCAUGAACAAUUUGUUAUAGCAAAACCUUUUUUUUAUUGAUGUGCUAAUUUAAUUUCAAAAUCUGAAACAUCUGAAAGUAUUUAUACAGUAAAUGUAUUGUAGUUUUAAGGUUAUCCGCUUCAUUCUCAGGGAAGGAAAAAAUCCUUCACGCUCAAACUGGCUUUCAUCUUAAACCAUAUUUUUACUGAGUACAUUUUUAACUUCAAGUAGAAAAUACGCUUUGUUGCACUUAAACUUUAGUUGUGUAUUUAUCUAAUAGCAACAUAAUGAGUAAACAUUGUAAUUUUGUUCAUCUGUCAAUAGUUAUUUCCUUACCACUGUGUGUUUUUUAAUUCUUUAGAUCCUUGAUUUAAUACUUCUAAAAAUGUUUUAUUUCAUGUCACAAAGUCUGAUUCUCAUGUCACUAAUUGAUUUAAAGCCAAGUAUAUCAUCUUUUAGGAUAUUUUAGUAGUAAAUUAACAAAUUGACUACAUUUAAUUUAACAAAUUCACUGCCAUUUAAUUAAACAUUUUGUAUUUCCAAGUGCAUUGAAAUCCUGUUCAUAAUUUUUUCAUAUAACUUCCUAUUUUUUAUGUAAUAUGAUGUGUUGCUGCU